GUUUUAUCAUGACUUGACAAUACAGGAAUAUCUUGCCCUUGCAUGAAUUGUUGUUGUCAUAUUUGAAAUGUAUGAUGUACUCAUAAUUUGAAGUAACUUUAAUUCGUGGUCAGGUUUUAUUUCCCAAGUCAUUAAAACUAAACAUUAGGUAUAUUUUCUCUGAUCAUAUAUGUAUAUAUAUAUCGAAAUAGAAGUUUGUAGCUUUUGAUGGCGAAAUGAAA
rnacentral:misc_RNA from 1 species